rnacentral:rRNA from 1 species
AGAGUUUGAUCCUGGCUCAGGACGAACGCUGGCGGCGUGCUUAACACAUGCAAGUCGAACGGAAAGGCCUGCCACCUUGGUGGUGGGUACUCGAGUGGCGAACGGGUGAGUAACACGUGGGUGAUCUGCCCCGCACUGUGGGAUAAGCCUGGGAAACUGGGUCUAAUACCACAUACGACCAUGGCGUAGGGGUCAUGGUGGAAAGCUUUAUUGCGGUGUGGGAUGAGCCCGCGGCCUAUCAGCUUGUUGGUGGGGUAAUGGCCUACCAAGGCGGCGACGGGUAGCCGGCCUGAGAGGGUGGACGGCCACAUUGGGACUGAGACACGGCCCAGACUCCUACGGGAGGCAGCAGUGGGGAAUAUUGCACAAUGGGCGCAAGCCUGAUGCAGCGACGCCGCGUGGGGGAUGACGGCCUUCGGGUUGUAAACUCCUUUCGCCCGGGACGAAGCCCACCUGGUGGGUGACGGUACCGUGGAGAAGAAGCACCGGCUAACUACGUGCCAGCAGCCGCGGUAAUACGUAGGGUGCAAGCGUUGUCCGGAUUUACUGGGCGUAAAGAGCUCGUAGGUGGUGUGUCGCGUCGUCUGUGAAAUUCCGGGGCUUAACUCCGGGCGUGCAGGCGAUACGGGCACGACUAGAGUGCUGUAGGGGUAACUGGAAUUCCUGGUGUAGCGGUGAAAUGCGCAGAUAUCAGGAGGAACACCGAUGGCGAAGGCAGGUUACUGGGCAGUUACUGACGCUGAGGAGCGAAAGCAUGGGGAGCGAACAGGAUUAGAUACCCUGGUAGUCCAUGCUGUAAACGGUGGGCGUUAGGUGUGGGGACCGGUUUGGUUUCUGUGCCGUAGCUAACGCAUUAAGCGCCCCGCCUGGGGAGUACGGCCGCAAGGCUAAAACUCAAAGGAAUUGACGGGGGC